UACGGAGGGUGCAAGCGUUAAUCGGAAUUACUGGGCGUAAAGGGUGCGUAGGCGGUUGUUUAAGUCUGUUGUGAAAUCCCCGGGCUCAACCUGGGAAUGGCAAUGGAUACUGGGCAGCUAGAGUGUGUCAGAGGAUGGUGGAAUUCCCGGUGUAGCGGUGAAAUGCGUAGAGAUCGGGAGGAACAUCAGUGGCGAAGGCGGCUAUCUGGACGGUUUCUGACGCUAAGACACGAAAGCGUGGGGAGCAAACAGG
rnacentral:rRNA from 1 species